UCAUUUUACUUUUGAACUAUUAAAUAUCCAUAGGAGUGGAAUUCUUUCUCUUCUGUGCUUUGUAAUUUAUUUGCUCAGUUCAUGCUACCAAAAUCUUUUGGUCACACUUGUGAAAACUCUGUAAAGACAAAAGUGGCAUCUGCCUGCCAAAGAAGCAAUCAGUCACAUAGGGAAUGUCUGAGUCUUCUUUCAAAAAUUUAGAGUCAUUCUUCAGUUUAAGUAGAAAUUGAGAGAGAUUCAAAUUUGCCUCCAGGAAUUAUUUUGCAAUGGCAUCUCUUCUGUGCACAGCCUUGUGACAUUAUUUAGAGUUACUUUCAAUACGUGGGUGCUGAGCAGUGGUACUGGCAGCAGCUUGGAAGAAUUUAUCUGAGCUGGUGGAAAUACAGUGAAGCUGGUAAAAUUUGGAGAUUUGGUUUUUUUUUACUCUCAAUUAAAGGAUUUGUUUAAGAGUUCUGAAUCAAAAAAUUUAUUCCUCUGGUCAGAAAGUAGCUCAAGAAACACACAGCAUCAAUCACAGUCAAGAAAAAGAUUCACAACUAGCUCAUUCUGAUCAGCCUCUAACACAAGCUUUUUUUUUUUAGGUUCUCAUUAUUGAGAUGAUAUUAAUAUUUUCCAUUCAGUCCAUGGUCAGCGCUGCUGGAAAAGCUCUGCAUUGCUGAAAUUUGGGCUGGUUUCACAGUGUUUCCAGACAAGGCAGAUUUCAAGACAGUAGAGGUUAGGAUACCUCAUGUAGCCUCUCUGGGAGAUUGUUCACCAUCUCACCUUGGCUUUUUUUUCUACUUUCUGCAGGACAGAAAUGAGUUUGUGUCCUCUCACUCAACUUCCUACAAAACAAAGCCUUGUGCUUUUAUGUGACCCCUCUGCUCCUGUCCUGCCUUUUCCUCGAGCUGCACUUUGUGUCAAGUGGAUCUCCUGCUGCACUCUGCUCCCUCAAAGCAAGGAGAAAAAUUAUCAGACACAGGGGAAAAUCUCAGUUGAGAGAAGCAGAAAGGAUUGGCCUUUUCUGCUCUGGAAAGGAAAAAGAGAAUGAGUGAAAGAAAUGAACACAAAGCAAUGCCUGGAGUAGAAAGGGGCAAAUACAGUCUUCAAAUGGAACACUUCUCGAACUCAUGGGGGUUUUUUUUGGAGUUACUUCCAUCUGUCUUUGAAUAAACUAGCUCUGCUCUGUGUUCUGCA